GAGCGAGCGAGCGAGCGAGUGAGCAGGGAAGCGCGGUUCCCUUUCCCAGGCACUGCUCCGAGGGGCGGCUGCGAGUUGGCCAGCCCUACAGGCGGCGGAGCAUCCCAGCUCACAGACUCGGAGCUCUGGAGUCCCGGUUUCGGCCUCGGGUCCCCGCCCCUCCCUCGCGUCUGCCACCCUUGGCUGUAGGCUCAGGUGGGAACUUUGGCGGUGCCUCCCACCUGGCAGCGGGGCAGGGUUUCAGUGACUCUGGACUCUCUGGGUUCCCCGAGGAAGAUGGUUCCCGGGAGCCUGUGGGGGCAAGGAGUGCAGAUGACCUCGUUCUCUCUUUGGGGGUGCUACCCAGUUAGGGACACAACCUCUGGUUCUCUGGGAAGGUAUCUGGAGGACUCCAGUGGGACUUCCGGGAGAGCUGGAAGCCUUGGGAUGUCAGCAUUUGCCGGGGCUGUGGAGAGGAGUCUUCCCCAACUGCCAGACUGCUAAGUUGCCAGGAGUGAAAGAACUAGGGCUGAGGAUGCUGAGAGGAGUGGUGAUCUCGGCUGAAACUUGAUCUGGAAACUCUGGAUGGGACUGAAAGCAAACAAAACAUACUUUAACCAGGGCAUUAAAAAAAAAAAAAAAAAAAAAAAGAUGGAUGAGCCUGCUGCUUGCUUCAGGUCACUAUCACGUCUUUACAGCUGAUGAGAGGGGCUUCAGAUGUUUCAGGUUGGGGCCAAUGAUGCCUGAUCUUUGCUGAACCCCUUACUAAAUGCAGUUCAGAUUCCAUUCCUGCUGCCUCUCCUGUAAGUCAGUAGUAGAGGUUAACUUGUUAAUUAUUUUUAUGGAGAAACGACAGUAAGCAAUUCCAUCGGGUAUUAAUAAAGCGAUUGCAAUUGUUUUCUGAGGUUCUAAGCUAGAGAAAAGUUCUCAAGACUUUGGAGUAGAUGUAUUGGAAAUGAAAUGAACUAGCCUGGCACUUUUUCCAGGACUCCAGGCAGCUGGGCUCUCCCUUAACAAUACCUUGUACUUCUUAUCUUCUGGCAGUGUAUUUAUCAAACAUUUGUCGAGUCUGGCAGAGUCCACUGGUUGGUCUUUUUACUUGAAAUAGCAAUAUGUGGAGCCAUUACCUUGCUCUUCCGUUGUCAGAUGAAAAGAAAUGAGAAGAAA
rnacentral:lncRNA from 1 species